AAUUUUCACAGUGAACACAACAACGCACUAAGUCAUUUUAAAUCUUAACGCAAACGGCUCCCAUCAUUCACCAUCUUAGGUCAAUACAUUGUGACAAUCAAACAUAGCUCGCUGAUUGCCACUUUAAUUAAUUCCAAUAAAUACUCAUGAGCUUUUAAGACAAACAAGAGGGAGUGAAACAGUUUUUCCUUCCUUUCCCCCCCAAACAAGCAGAGAUAAUUAAACAUCUAUCCUCAGAGAAGAAGUGUUCCCACUGGAAGGUUGUUUGGUUUAAGGAUUUGCUCAGUGGUUUGACUCACUAGGGACUCUCCAUUUGAGUCUCAAGGUUUUAUAUCUCUAACAAGGCUUUAAUUGCCAAGGUAACAGACCACCUGAUUAAGCCUGACAAUAAGUCUGCUUUAUCUGCGAGGUAGGAGUGAGCAGAAUAGACUGCAGGGAUGAGGAGGAAUAUUCAAAUUUAGCUAUCAGAGAGUCAUGAAUUCACUGUUAAUAAGGUUGUGGCCAACAAGCAAAAAAAAAAACAAAAAACAUAUGAUCGUGCACUUGCCUAAAACAUUCUAUUUACUGCACAUCAACUUUAGAAAUGCACACUUCUUGCAGGAAAGAUCCUAAUUCUACUGAGAGUGUGGAGGAGGCGGCACUCAAAGCCUCAGGUCCCAUGCCAUGUGCCCUCCUUAUUGUAACGAGUGCAUUUCUCUCCUCAAACUCUGACUGGUGAGUGUGUCAGGGAGGAGGGGUAUUCUUCAGAGGAGACAGGGAGCGUAUGGUGGUGAGAAACUCUGUGUUAAAGUCCCAUCUCUCCUGUCAGAAGGCUGACACAGGGCAUCUAGGGACACGGGGCCUUUGGUGCUCUGAGUCUGGACAAUGGCCUAGUUUCACCCCCCUCUACUACUCCCCUCCUUUCCUAUUCCCUCCUACAAUAUACCACCUACAACAACACUCCUCAGCCUCCCCAUCUCAUCUGUUCUUUACUGUCAUCCUGCCCUCAAUGAACUGCCCUUCUCCAGCCCCUCCUUUUCAUCUUCUCCCUUUGCC
ensembl:lncRNA